GGGGAUGUAGCUCAGUGGUAGAGCACUUGCUUAGUAUGCAUGAAGGCUCUGGAUCUGACCCCA
rnacentral:tRNA from 1 species